UUGGGUUUGGCUCCUUCCCUGUAACACCCCCUCCUCAACUCAGGACUAAACUAUUGAUUCCAUCUUGGGCCCAGCUAAACGGGGUCCAGUCCCCUCCCUUCCUAACUGGAUGGAUUCGGGUUCAUGUGCUGAAAGCUUGAGACUCUGUGGACUGAUUUGAAUUGGUGGAAUCUUUCAGAGAUGGGGCCAGGGAAGAGCGACGAGGUCCCUGGGCUAAUCCCUGUUGAGAGAGAUUGAUGUCAUUCUCUUGGGACUCAGGUACUGGAUUCUGUUCUGGGAGCUGAAGACAUAACAGUGGAGAAGACGGAUAGCAAUGCCUGUUCCUCGUGGAGCUGAUUCUAGUAAGGGGAAGAGAGGAAACAAUCGGCUCAAGAAACAA